UCCUAUUAAGUAUAACUAUCUAGAAACCAGCAAGAUUCAUGUCUCCACCAUUUUAAUCAAAGUCAUCACUCAUCCUUAAUUUUCACAAAAUUACAAACUAGCCCCAUUUUCCCCCUUAUUUAAAACUCACCACCACCGCCGCCGCCGCCGCCGCCAGUUUCACCGGUAUGGCAUCAUCAGAGUUUAAGCCACUGGAUGAAAAAUCAUUGAUAGAAUACAUAAAGAACACUCCAGUUUUAUCCAAUCAGAUUGGCAAUAAAUUUGAUGAGUUGAAAAUUAAAGAAGUUGGAGAUGGCAAUCUGAAUUUUGUCUACAUUGUUGAUAGCCCAGAUGGUUCUUUUGUCAUCAAGCAGGCACUUCCUUAUAUACGUUGCAUUGGAGAAUCAUGGCCUAUGAGCAAGGAAAGAGCCUAUUUUGAAGCUAGGACGCUUAAAGAGCAUGGCCGGUUGUGCCCUGAACAUGUUCCGGAAGUUUAUCACUUCGACCAUACAAUGUGUUUGAUUGGUAUGCGGUACUUGGAGCCGCCUCAUAUUAUCCUCAGAAAAGGGCUAAUUGGUGGAUUUGAGUACCCUUAUUUAGCAGAACAUAUUUCAGAUUAUAUGGCAAAAACGCUUUUUUACACAUCACUUCUGUAUCUUACUACCACUGAGCAUAAGCGUGUUGUUGCUGAAUUCUGUGGGAAUGUGGAGUUAUGCAGGCUAACUGAGCAGGUUGUUUUCUCCGACCCUUAUAGAGUAUCUCAAUAUAACCAUUGGACUUCCCCUUUCCUUGACCAUGAUGCUGAGGCUGUUCGUGAGAACAAUGAUUUGAAGCUUGAAAUUGCUGAAUUGAAAUCAAAGUUCUGUGAAAGAUCACAAGCGUUAAUACACGGAGAUCUUCACACUGGUUCUGUCAUGGUUACUUCCUCUUCGACUCAGGUUAUAGAUCCAGAAUUUUCAUUCUACGGUCCAAUGGGUUUUGAUGUUGGAGCUUUCAUUGGAAAUCUGAUUUUGGCCUACUUUGCUCAAGAUGGCCAUUCUGAUUCAACUAAUGAUCGUAAAUCAUAUAAAAAGUGGAUUCUGAAGAUGAUCGAAGAUACAUGGAAUCUUUUUUACGAAAAGUUCAUUGCACUUUGGGAUAAGCAUAAGGAUGGACCUGGUGAGGCAUAUCUACCAGAAAUCUAUAAUAACCCUGAGCUUCGGCAGCUUGUGCAGAGAAAAUUUAUGACAGAUUUGUUCCAUGAUACCCUUGGAUUUGGUGCUGCAAAAAUGAUAAGGAGGAUCGUUGGGGUAGCACAUGUUGAGGAUUUUGAAUCGAUUAAUGAAGCUAGCAAACGUGCUGAAUGUGAACGGAAGGCACUUGAGUUUGCGAAAAUGCUCCUAAAGAACCGGCGGAAGUUCGAUUCAAUCAACGAGGUAGUGGCAGCCAUGUGACCAUUGGAUCACCUACAAACUUCUGGUUAGAGCUUAAGCCUUGUUAUUAUCAAGUAUCAACUGUAGUUUUCUGGUUGUUCAUCAGAAUUAAAAGGAUCAAACGAAUAAUGUAAAGAAUUACUUGCAUAAUAAUAUUCAGAAAGGAGUGCAACUUUACGACCACAAACGUAAAACACUUACUAUAAGAUUUAAUAAAGAUAAUGAAAAUUCUUAUCCAAGCUGAGUCCAUAGAAGAUGUAUAAACCCGAUCAAUUAAAUGUUGGAAAAUUUCACUUUUUCUUA